rnacentral:rRNA from 1 species
GACGAACGCUGGCGGCGUGCUUAACACAUGCAAGUCGAACGGAAAGGCCCUGCUUUUGUGGGGUGCUCGAGUGGCGAACGGGUGAGUAACACGUGAGUAACCUGCCCUUGACUUUGGGAUAACUUCAGGAAACUGGGGCUAAUACCGGAUAGGAGCUCCUGCUGCAUGGUGGGGGUUGGAAAGUUUCGGCGGUUGGGGAUGGACUCGCGGCUUAUCAGCUUGUUGGUGGGGUAGUGGAUUACCAAGGCUUUGACGGGUAGCCGGCCUGAGAGGGUGACCGGCCACAUGGGGACUGAGAGACGGCCCAGACUCCUACGGGAGGCAGCAGGGGGGAAUAUUGCACAAUGGGCGGAAGCCUGAUGCAGCAACGCCGCGUGCGGGAUGACGGCCUUCGGGUUGUAAACCGCUUUCGCCUGUGACGAAGCGUGAGUGACGGUAAUGGGUAAAGAAGCACCGGCUAACUACG